rnacentral:rRNA from 1 species
UGGAAUGGUAUAUCCUCGAAAGAUCCGUUGCCUUAGGAUGGGACUGCGUCCGAUUAGGUUGUUGGCGGGGUAACGGCCCACCAAGCCUUUUAUCGGUACGGGUUGUGGGAGCAAGAUCCCGGAGAUGGAUUCUGAGACAUGAAUCCAGGCCCUACGGGGCGCAGCAGGCGCGCAAACUUUACAAUGCGAGCAAUCGUGAUAAGGAAACCCUGAGUGCCUGUCGAUGCAGGCUGUUCAUAUAUCUAAAUCAUAUGUGAAGAAAGGGCAGGGCAAGACCGGUGCCAGCCGCCGCGGUAAUACCGGCUGCUCGAGUGAUGGCCACUAUUACUGGGUUUAAAGCGUCCGUAGCUUGACUGUUAGGUCUCUUGGGAAAUCUUCGCGCUCAACGUGAAGGCGUCUAAGAGAUACCGGCAGUCUUGGAACUGGGAGAGGUAAACCGUACUUCGGGGGUAGGAGUGAAAUCUUGUAAUCCUCGAGGGACGACCUAUGGCGAAGGCAGUUUACCAGAACAGCUUCGACAGUGAGGGACGAAAGCUGGGGGAGCAAACGGGAUUAGAUACCCCGGUAGUCCCAGCCGUAAACAAUGUGCGUUAGGUGUGUCGGUAACCACGUGUUACUGAUGCGCCGAAGAGAAAUCGUGAAACGCACCACCUGGGAAGUACGGUCGCAAGGCUGAAACUUAAAGGAAUUGGCGGGGGAGCACCACAACAGGUGGAGCCUGCGGUUUAAU